rnacentral:lncRNA from 1 species
GAGCCAAGAUAGAGAUCGAUUCUUCUUCACAGGUCAUAUCAGACUGUAUCUCAGAUGGAGAAAUCACAUGCGAAGGAUCAGAUCUGUAUCAUCGAAGCAUCGAUACGUGAAACACAUUAUGAAUCUUUUCUAGCUCAGGUGGCAAUAACAAUCUAUAUGCAACCGAUCCAAUGCGUUCUAUAAUCUCAUACGGCUCAAUGAAUCUUGGAC